rnacentral:misc_RNA from 1 species
AGGGAAAGAUGUGAUUGGGCAUUUCAUAGUACAACAUGCAAGUUCACUGAAGGUAUUUUUCACUUGUUUUAGAUCUUCACAUGCUUGCUACUCAACUCAGCCUUAGUCUUGAACCUGUUGGGAUUGCUACAUUAAUUACUUUUGGAUUUAACAUAUGCAUGAAUUGUGUAAUUCUCUAAGCAUCAUUUUAUGCUUUGAAUUCAUCAGAAGACAUUUUUUUUUAAUUGCUUUGCAGCGAAGGAGAAAACCUCUAAAAUCUGGUCUCUGGACUGGUAGUUCAGCUAUGAUUGGCAAG